GUGCCAGCAGCCGCGGUAAUUCCAGCUCCAAUAGCGUAUAUUAAAGUUGUUGUGGUUAAAAAGCUCGUAGUUGAACCUUGGGCCUGGCUGGCCGGUCCGCCUCACCGCGUGCACUGGUCCGGCCGGGCCUUUCCCUCUGUGGAACCCCAUACCCUUCACUGGGCGUGGCGGGGAAACAGGACAUUUACUUUGAAAAAAUUAGAGUGCUCCAGGCAGGCCUAUGCUCGAAUACAUUAGCAUGGAAUAAUAGAAUAGGACGCGCGGUUCUAUUUUGUUGGUUUAUAGGACCGCCGUAAUGAUUAAUAGGGACAGUCGGGGGCAUCAGUAUUCAACUGUCAGAGGUGAAAUUCUUGGAUCAGUUGAAGACUAACUACUGCGAAAGCAUUUGCCAAGGAUGUUUUCAUUAAUCAGGAACGAAAGUUAGGGGAUCGAAGACGAUCAGAUACCGUCGUAGUCUUAACCAUAAACUAUGCCGACUAGGGAUCGGACGGUGUUAUUCAUGACCCGUUCGGCACCUUACGAGAAAUCAAAGUGCUUGGGCUCCAGGGGGAGUAUGGUCGCAAGGCUGAAACUUAAAGAAAUUGACGGAAGGGCACCACCAGGGUGGAGCCUGCGGCUUAAUUUGACUCAGCACGGGGAAACUCACCAGGUCCAGACACAAUAAGGAUUGACAGAUUGAGAGCUCUUUCUUGAUUUUGUGGGUGGUGUGCAUGGCCGUUCUUAGUUGGUGGGGUGACUUGUCUGCUUAAUUGCGAUAACGAACGAGACCUUAACCUGCUAAAUAGCCCGCAUUGCUCCGGCAGUGCGCUGGCUUCUUAGAGGGACUUUCGGCUCAGCCGAAGGAA
rnacentral:rRNA from 1 species